GCCGGGCGCAGUGGUGCACACCUGUAAUCCCAGCAGCUCAGGAGGCUGAGGCAGGAGGAUCGCGAGUUCACAGCCAGCAAAAGCAAGGCAGUAAGCAACUCAGUGAGACCCUGUCUCUA
rnacentral:sRNA from 1 species